rnacentral:rRNA from 1 species
UACGGGAGGCAGCAGUGGGGAAUUUUCCGCAAUGGGCGAAAGCCUGACGGAGCAACGCCGCGUGAGGGAUGAAGGCCUCUGGGCUGUAAACCUCUUUUCUCAAGGAAGAAGAUCUGACGGUACUUGAGGAAUAAGCCACGGCUAAUUCCGUGCCAGCAGCCGCGGUAAUACGGGAGUGGCAAGCGUUAUCCGGAAUUAUUGGGCGUAAAGCGUCCGCAGGCGGCCUUUUAAGUCUGUUGUUAAAGCGUGGAGCUUAACUCCAUUUAAGCAAUGGAAACUGGAAGGCUAGAGUGUGGUAGGGGCAGAGGGAAUUCCCGGUGUAGCGGUGAAAUGCGUAGAUAUCGGGAAGAACACCAGUGGCGAAGGCGCUCUGCUGGGCCAUAACUGACGCUCAUGGACGAAAGCCAGGGGAGCGAAAGGGAUUAGAUACCCCUGUAGUCCUGGCCGUAAACGAUGAACACUAGGUGUCGGGGGAAUCGACCCCCUCGGUGUCGUAGCCAACGCGUUAAGUGUUCCGCCUGGGGAGUACGCACGCAAGUGUGAAACUCAAAGGAAUUGACGGGGGCCCGCACAAGCGGUGGAGUAUGUGGUUUAAUUCGAUGCAACGCGAAGAACCUUACCAGGGUUUGACAUCCUGCGAAUUCCUUGGAAACGAGGAAGUGCCUUCGGGAGCGCAGUGACAGGUGGUGCAUGGCUGUCGUCAGCUCGUGUCGUGAGAUGUUGGGUUAAGUCCCGCAACGAGCGCAACCCACGUCUUUAGUUGCCAGCAUUCAGUUGGGCACUCUAGAGAGACCGCCGGUGAUAAACCGGAGGAAGGUGUGGAUGACGUCAAGUCAUCAUGCCCCUUACAUCCUGGGCUACACACGUACUACAAUGCUACGGACAAAGGGCAGCAAACUC